UUGAUCCUGGCUCAGGACGAACGCUGGCGGCGUGCUUAACACAUGCAAGUCGAGCGGUAAGGCCCUUCGGGGUACACGAGCGGCGAACGGGUGAGUAACACGUGGGUGAUCUGCCUCGUACUCUGGGAUAAGCCUGGGAAACUGGGUCUAAUACCGGAUAUGACCACGAGUCGCAUGGUUUGUGGUGGAAAGAUUUAUCGGUGCGAGAUGGGCCCGCGGCCUAUCAGCUUGUUGGUGGGGUAAUGGCCUACCAAGGCGACGACGGGUAGCCGGCCUGAGAGGGCGACCGGCCACACUGGGACUGAGACACGGCCCAGACUCCUACGGGAGGCAGCAGUGGGGAAUAUUGCACAAUGGGCGGAAGCCUGAUGCAGCGACGCCGCGUGCGGGAUGACGGCCUUCGGGUUGUAAACCGCUUUCGACAGGGACGAAGCGUGAGUGACGGUACCUGUAGAAGAAGCACCGGCCAACUACGUGCCAGCAGC
rnacentral:rRNA from 1 species